GACGAACGCUGGCGGCGUGCUUAACACAUGCAAGUCGAACGGAAAGGCCCUGCUUUUGUGGGGUGCUCGAGUGGCGAACGGGUGAGUAACACGCGAGUAACCUGCCCUUGACUUUGGGAUAACUUCAGGAAACUGGGGCUAAUACCGGAUAGGAGCUCCUGCUGCACGGUGGGGGAUGGAAAGUUUCGGCGGUUGGGGAUGGACUCGCGGCUUAUCAGCUUGUUGGUGGGGUAGUGGCUUACAAAGGCUUCGACGGGUAGCCGGCCUGAGAGGGUGACCGGCGACAUGGGGACUGAGGUACGGCCCAGACUCCUACGGGAGGCAGCGGUGGGGAAUAUUGCACAAUGGGCGGAAGCCUGAUGCAGCAGCGCCGCGUGCGUGAUGACGGCCUUCGGGUUGUAAACCGCUUUCGCCUGUGACGAAGCGUGAGUGACGGUAAUGGGUAAAGAAGCACCGGCUAACUACGUG
rnacentral:rRNA from 1 species